GACGAACCGUGCAAACGUUGUUCGGAAUCACUGGGCUUAAAGGGCGCGUAGGCGGCUUGCCAAGUCAGGGGUGAAAUCUUUCGGCUUAACCGGGAAAGUGCCUCUGAUACUGGCGAGCUAGAGGGAGGUAGGGGCAUGUGGAACUUCCGGUGGAGCGGUGAAAUGCGUUGAUAUCGGAGGGAACGCCGGUGGCGAAAGCGACGUGCUGGAUCUCUUCUGACGCUGAGGCGCGAAAGCUAGGGGAGCGAACGGG
rnacentral:rRNA from 1 species